UUUAGCCUUCUCCUUCACUUAUAAAAAGAGAGACACCCUUUUGUAAUCCUUAGAAUUUGAUUUAAUGUAAAGUCUUUUUGUCCAAAAUUGCAAGACUUCUCUUCUUGAGUUCUCACCUUAUGAAAUUGUCUUCUUCUAGACUUCUUCAUACCUUCUCCUUCAUGGUUGGUCUAACCUUCUAGAAGGACAUCUACCAAGACCAUACAACAUCAAAAUCAUCAUUUUUUCAUCUUUAUUUGCUUCCGCUACAAUCAUUGUUCAUAUGGAGUCCAUCUUUUGAAGAAGUUUCAUCAACCAAAUUGGAAGAUCAUCUUGUGUUGAAGAAGCAUCAUUAAAGCAAUCUCCAUCAGAGUCCUUUUGUAAGUACAUGAAUUCAUUUCCUCGUUUCUAGGCAACACAUGCCUUACAUUUUUAAAGUAAAACAUGACAUUCCUUCCAUUUAACCGUGUUUUGCAAAGAUAAAAAAAAAGGCCUUCAACUACACAUGGACGCUCAAUCAGACGUGGAUUGACUAACAAGCUUACAUUAACAAUAAGGAUUUAUGUAUUGUAAUAAAUUAUUGCCAGCGAUAAGCAUGGUUAACUUGUAGAAAAGUUUCAUUCUGAUUGGGAUCUAAGUAAUAUGAAACUCUUUUCCAAAAAAACUGUGUCCUAUUUGCAUGGAGAGACUAAAGAAUACUAUAUCUUUUUCGAUAUCGUAUUAAAAGAUGUAAUUUAUUAAAUUAGACAUCACAAAUAGAAAAUUUUUUGUUUUGUAACCGUGUGCUCAUACAAUGAAGAAAAAACAACUUUUCAAAUGAGUUGAAUUUUGUUUGUGGGACUUUAGGUUUAAUUCCCCUUCAAUACUAUAAAAAUCUCGUCCAUUCCCUUCUCCUCCUCGUAUACCCAAGUUACCUUUUCUAUCUCCCGUUCCCUCCUCCCAUGGCUAUACUACUCAAGUUUUUUUCUUCCAUUCCAAUAAAAUCUUCACUUUCUUCAAAAGUUUCUUUGACCAUUCAAAUUGUUGGGUUGGUGACAAAUGACUUUACCUCUAUCGUUUACACGGUUGAACGGGGUCAUUAUGUCAUAGUAUUCAGUUGUAUCUCUACAUCGAGUUUUUGUGUAAAAAUAAAAAAAUCACUUUCUUGUUCCUUGGCUGCACAUGCCUUACAUAUUUGACGUAAGGCAGAGCAGUCAUUUCUUCUAUUUGACCAUGUUUAUCAAAGAUGACAAAAAAAAUAGAUUUUCAACUUCAUACGAUUGCUCGACCAAACAUAAAACGACUAAGAACCUUGCAUGAACAAAUAUGAUUUGUGUAUUGGAAUAAAUUAUUACCAGUGAUAAACAUAAUUAACUCGAAGAAAAUUUCACUCUAACUAAGAUAAUGAGUAAUAAAAAAAAAAAAUUGUCCUAUUUAAGUGGAGAGGUCAAAAAUAUGGUGUCGUUCUGGUCAUAGUAAAGAUAAUUUCCUUUAAAUACUAAAAAGGUAAAAAUCUUUUUUGAAUACUCUUUUAAACACAUGAAAAAGGUAAAAAUUUUCUGUAUAAAAUCCAGCAAGAAUGAGUUUUCCUACCAUACCUGUAUGUAAAUGAGGAGUGAGGGAAGGAGUUGCAUGUUAAUAGUCAUAUUCUAUAUAUAUAUAUAUAUAUAUAUAUAUAUAUAUAUAUAUAUUUUUUUUGUGUGUUUGUGUGAUGUCUUUAAAGAUUUUGGAAUCUAUAUAUUUGAUAAAGUGAAUAAUAUUCAGUUCUGUUUUUGUUAAGCUUUUCUUUACCCAUUUUGAUAUAUCCAUUAAACUUUAAAAAAACUAAUAUAUAGCACAAAACUUGCCGAAGAUAAAAGUGAAACUCCAUAUUUAGUGUUUCAAUAUGCAAACAACCCAGAAUUAGUAGAGGAUGUUGAAGCAUAUGCAAAAGCAAAAAUCAAAGACCGAACAUCUUUUUACAUUUUUCUGGAAAAUCCUCUUUGCAUUUGCAAGAAUAAGAUCUGUUAAAUUCAUAUUUUUUUUUUAUCAAAUAUAACACUUUAUUUAUAUAUAAUUACAAAUAAAUUUGAUGACAUUCAACUUUAAAAAUGUGACAACAGUUUUAAUAUUUAAAUUUAAAAAAUUAAUAGAUAUAAUAUUUUAAUCAUUUGAACUAAAACUUAUUAAUAUUUAAGUUAUUUAUGUACUUUAAAAAUUGAUUAAUAGAAAAUACUCAAUAUUUUAUAAUUAUAUUUAUUUUUUAAAAUUUGAAGUCAAAAUAUAUCAAAAUUUAACCAGACUAUCUUAAUUUUGUAUUUAAAUUCAUUAACUACAAACAUAUUUAAAAAAAAAAAAAAACACUAAUUUUUGACAUGGCUAUAAAUGUAAUCUAACAGUUUAAAUGUUGAAGAUUCACUGUAGUAAUAUUUUUUACAAAAAAUUUUACACUGAUAUUGAAACUUUUGAUUUAAUAAUUCAGAAUCUCAUCAGUAUUAGUAGGUCAACUGUAAUGAUUUUAAUUUACUCUAAUUAUUACACAUAUUGUUCUCCUGUCCUGUUGUUACCUUAUUUUGCAAUCAUAAUGAUGGAUUAAUCAAUUCUGAUCUAAUCCAGUCACUCCUGCAUCAAUAACAUAUUAUUAUUUUUCACAUGGAUAACGAUAUUUAGACAAUAUUUUUUUGACAAUAUUUGAACAUUGAUUACGUGUCAACUUGUGAUUGGUCAAAAAUUACUCCACAAUCAAUAAUAAUAAUCAAUAUUUUAUAAUUGUAGAGUAAUUUUUAACCAAUCACAGAUUGACACGUAAUCAAUGUUCAAAUGUUAUCAAAAAAAUGUUGUCUAAAUAUCAUUAUCUUUUCACAUUUAACAAACUUUUACACACAUUUUAUAUUUAUUAUUUUACCCUUCAAAUUUUAUUUUUUCUAUAAAUAUAAAAGUUAACCUUUUAAUUAUCAAAAUACCCCAAAAACUAUAUAAAAGUUUUACAUUAUUUGUGCAUCAAUCUAAAAAGGGUGAUUUUAAAAUAUAAAAAAAUUGAAAUAAUAUGAAUAUUUUGUUUCUUUUAGGGACAGUAGCCCUAUAUUAUUUGGGUCUUAGAGGCCCUUUUAAUCUUCCAUCUCUAUCCACUUUUUCUUUAACAUGUCCUUUUCAGUAAAGCUUUGUCCAUCACCCACCUCUAUUGCUUGUUCAGUAAAAGCUAAACACACAAACUUAUAUUUUAUUUCUAAUUAUAAUUUUUGGUAUUUAUCAAUAAAUGUGCCUUUUUCUUAACAAAUAUUAUUACCAUAAUUGACUUCCUUAAUUGGUAUUUAGCGUUUAAUCAUCAACUCAAUAAUAGAGUCACAACUUCAAUUGUAACUUUCUCUUACAAAUGAAUCAUCCCAUUGAAAGAGGGGUUCUACCUCUUCAUUGUAAAAUAAAAAAAUUAUAUAUAUAAAUGUAAAUACAUAAAGGUGGAAAGAAAUAUAAAAAUUCAUAGAUUUACUAUGUAGUAAUAAUAAGGAAGGCUUACGAAGAAGAGAAACCAAAAAAAAAAAGAGGUAAAGAAAGAUGUAAAAGUUUUGUACGGUAGUAUAUCUCUGACGGCGGAUACGUCACCUUAACGACCGGUUACACCGAACGGUCCAGUUUACCAAUUAAAUGGGCCGAAUUAUCAAACUGGUCUAACUUUAUUGGGCUCGAGGCCCAUCAUGUCACAAAUGUGAAUAAAUGAACAAUAUCAUAUAUCACGUAUCAAAUAAUAUCCCAACAAAAAUAUAUCAAGUAAGUUUGUUUAUAUUUCAUUCUGUUUUAUUCUGUUUAUAUUCUAUUGAUCUCAUAUCAAUCCAAAACCUAUAAAUAAAGAACCAAGGACUCCAAACACACACGGUACGUUCACAUUCUUUCAUACUCAUACUUUCACACCGACUAAGUAUUAUCGUAUUUACGAUAACCCUCUCCUCAUUCUAAUGCCUUUACACAUAAACGAAAUAACAGAAAAUGUAAAUCUAACAAUAAACCGAACGGUUCGGUCAGAGACCCAACGAUACAUUGAACAACACAAUAAAACCGAUUAAUACACUGAAUAACACAAAACUAAUCGGUAUACUGAAUAAAACCGAACGGUACGAUACUGAAUGGUAUAACUGUUAUAAAAAAUCAUGAGUUUCUUACACAACAUAAUGCCAUUAAGAUAUAGAUUCCUAAUUUAUGCAUUUUUUUUUUGUUUUGAUUUGAUAUUUAUUGUUGUUUCUGAAAACGUGAUUAUGUGAAUAUAUUAUUUGAAAGUCUCAUUUAUGUUUAUCUUAAAUUAAAUUUCUUUUAAUUUAACUUAUUUUUCUAUUGUUUAUUUUUCAAUUUCUUAUCUACUUGUAGAUGGAAAAAUAUGAUUAAAAAGAAUAUUUUUAUAUAAUAUGUAUAUACGUAUGUAGAAAGAGAAAGAGUGUGGAUUUUUAGUUUGGAAGGAUAAAUAUAAUCAAAUUCAUCAUGGUAUUAUCCCUAUGUUUAUGGUCUUUUAUAGGUUUCUUAAAUAAAAAGAAUAAAUUUUCAUUGAUUAAAUAGAUUUUUUUAAUUGUUUUAUAAUUUAGAAUGAUUUCAAUUUGGUUCAUGUAUAGUAUCAGGUAGGACGGACGGUCGAAGUUGAUCCGAAGGAGACCGGUUCGAAGAAACCAUUAAAUCGGUGAGCAUUUCUAGAAACGCCUGGACAAGUGGACCGACUGGAAGAGCCGGACGGUCCCCAGAAUGGCUCUAAUCAGUCUAAGGAACGCGAUUCAAGCAGGAAACCGAUAGACACCCGGCCGGUCCUUAUGAUGACAGUAACUGCGCAAAAUCAAGAAAGUAAACAGGAUUAGGAACAUUUGGGCUGAGAUUGGGCCGUCAUUAAGAAAAGGCUAAACACAGGCCCACCAAGAAAACUAUAAAUAAGAGGUCAAAGGUAAGACAGGUAAGAACAUUAAAUGCACAUUGAUAUCAUACUUUCUCUCUCUAUCUCUACUGUUGAUUUGAGAAUUGACUUGAGCGUCGGAGCCUCUUAGACAGGUACCCGACCGGCUUUGGACUGAAGUUGUGGAACUUAUUGAAGCUAAACGACCAGAUCGGAGGGCAUGAGCAAGGACCGGACGGCGAGGAGAUUGCGAAGGGUUGAUUGUGAAGAGUUAACUACUAUCCACCGAAACAGAUCAUAUUAAAAAAAAAAAAAUUAAUGUAAUAUAUUUUACUAAGAUGACAUGUGUGAUUUAUUACUUAGGUUACAUUCUUA
rnacentral:lncRNA from 1 species